rnacentral:rRNA from 1 species
GCUUGCACUGGGGAUUAGUGGCGAACGGGUGAGUAACACGUGAGUAACCUGCCCUUGACUCUGGGAUAAGCCUGGGAAACUGGGUCUAAUACCGGAUAUGACCUUCCAUCGCAUGGUGGUUGGUGGAAAGCUUUUGUGGUUUUGGAUGGACUCGCGGCCUAUCAGCUUGUUGGUGGGGUAAUGGCCUACCAAGGCGACGACGGGUAGCCGGCCUGAGAGGGUGACCGGCCACACUGGGACUGAGACACGGCCCAGACUCCUACGGGAGGCAGCAGUGGGGAAUAUUGCACAAUGGGCGCAAGCCUGAUGCAGCGACGCCGCGUGAGGGAUGACGGCCUUCGGGUUGUAAACCUCUUUCAGUAGGGAAGAAGCGAAAGUGACGGUACCUGCAGAAGAAGCGCCGGCUAACUACGUGCCAGCAGCCGCGGUAAUACGUAGGGCGCAAGCGUUAUCCGGAAUUAUUGGGCGUAAAGAGCUCGUAGGCGGUUUGUCGCGUCUGCCGUGAAAGUCCGGGGCUCAACUCCGGAUCUGCGGUGGGUACGGGCAGACUAGAGUGAUGUAGGGGAGACUGGAAUUCCUGGUGUAGCGGUGAAAUGCGCAGAUAUCAGGAGGAACACCGAUGGCGAAGGCAGGUCUCUGGGCAUUAACUGACGCUGAGGAGCGAAAGCAUGGGGAGCGAACAGGAUUAGAUACCCUGGUAGUCCAUGCCGUAAACGUUGGGCACUAGGUGUGGGGGACAUUCCACGUUUUCCGCGCCGUAGCUAACGCAUUAAGUGCCCCGCCUGGGGAGUACGGCCGCAAGGCUAAAACUCAAAGGAAUUGACGGGGGCCCGCACAAGCGGCGGAGCAUGCGGAUUAAUUCGAUGCAACGCGAAGAACCUUACCAAGGCUUGACAUGAACCGGUAAUACCUGGAAACAGGUGCCCCGCUUGCGGUCGGUUUACAGGUGGUGCAUGGUUGUCGUCAGCUCGUGUCGUGAGAUGUUGGGUUAAGUCCCGCAACGAGCGCAACCCUCGUUCUAUGUUGCCAGCACGUGAUGGUGGGGACUCAUAGGAGACUGCCGGGGUCAACUCGGAGGAAGGUGGGGACGACGUCAAAUCAUCAUGCCCCUUAUGUCUUGGGCUUCACGCAUGCUACAAUGGCCGGUACAAAGGGUUGCGAUACUGUGAGGUGGAGCUAAUCCCAAAAAGCCGGUCUCAGUUCGGAUUGGGGUCUGCAACUCGACCCCAUGAAGUCGGAGUCGCUAGUAAUCGCAGAUCAGCAACGCUGCGGUGAAUACGUUCCCGGGCCUUGUACACACCGCCCGUCAAGUCACGAAAGUUGGUAACACCCGAAGCCGG